UGGAACAAUAAAAUACACAAAGUUGGGGUGGAGCAAAAAGCUAAAAUGCUACACACACAUACAUACAUAUAAAAAUCGAUGUAUAUUGAGGUAGAUGUAGAAUCUAAAAACACAAAAACAUAGGAGAAACCAAGAGUACACAUCAAUUAUAUAAUUGGAGGUUAUAAAAAAUAAACUGGGAACACUCACAAAGGUGGAGCCAAAAUAAUGCACUUGGCUCUGGUGUUUAGUGUCUGUGGAUCAUUUGAGAUUUUCGUAUUGUCUUAUUUGGAUAGACAUUAAAUGACCAAAAAUGUUUCUGCUUAGUACCCUUAAUUUGGGAUGGAUUUCAAAUAAAG